rnacentral:lncRNA from 1 species
UCUAGCUUCUGCACCGAACGACCAUGCCAGGUGACCCUAGUUGAGUCACUUCCUUAUACUAGUGUCUGCUAUAAAGUGCAUGUGAUUUGUGGUGAGAUUUCACACCUAGGCUGUUCCGGGCUACCAGCUCUCAGCAGCUCUAGAAAGAAUAGCCUACUUCCCUCAGGCUUUAAGAGUGUCUCUUUCCAAUCAUCCUGUGUCCCCAUGGCCUCAUCUCUUUGUGGCACACUUGGGUUUCCUGGACAAAGGCGUGAUGUGUCAGGAGACAGCAGUCUGAGAAGGCCCAGUCCUGUACCCGCUGCCUCCUGGGAACCAUAGUCCUUGCAUUCAAAGGCUGGAUCAUGUGGUGAGGACCAGCUUUGCGAAGUCCAGU